CAGGCCUAACACAUGCAAGUCGAGCGGUAUUUGUUCUUCGGAACAGAGAGAGCGGCGUACGGGUGCGGAACACGUGUGCAACCUGCCUUUAUCAGGGGGAUAGCCUUUCGAAAGGAAGAUUAAUACCCCAUAAUAUAUUAAGUGGCAUCACUUGAUAUUGAAAACUCCGGUGGAUAAAGAUGGGCACGCGCAAGAUUAGAUAGUUGGUAGGGUAACGGCCUACCAAGUCAGUGAUCUUUAGGGGGCCUGAGAGGGUGAUCCCCCACACUGGUACUGAGACACGGACCAGACUCCUACGGGAGGCAGCAGUGAGGAAUAUUGGACAAUGGGUGAGAGCCUGAUCCAGCCAUCCCGCGUGAAGGACGACGGCCCUAUGGGUUGUAAACUUCUUUUGUAUAGGGAUAAACCUUUCCACGUGUGGAAAGCUGAAGGUACUAUACGAAUAAGCACCGGCUAACUCCGUGCCAGCAGCCGCGGUAAU
rnacentral:rRNA from 1 species